ACUCCUACGGGAGGCAGCAGUGGGGAAUAUUGGACAAUGGGCGAAAGCAUGAUCCAGCCCUGCCGCGUGUGUGAAGAAGGUCUUCGGAUUGUAAAGCACUUUAAGUUGGGAGGAAGGGCAGUAACUUAAUACGUUGCUGUUUUGACGUUACCGACAGAAUAAUGCACACGGCUAAUCUCUGUGCCAGCAGCCGCGGUAUU
rnacentral:rRNA from 1 species